rnacentral:tRNA from 1 species
GGGAUUUGGCUGGGUUGGUGGCGUGGUUGGAAGCCGCGUCUAAGCCGUAGGUUGGGGUGCAAACCCCAACAUCCUC